UGGGGAAUCUUGGACAAUGGGGGCAACCCUGAUCCAGCCAUGCCGCGUGAGUGAUGAAGGCCUUAGGGUCGUAAAGCUCUUCGCCUGUGAAGAUAAUGACGGUAGCAGGUAAAGAAACCCCGGCUAACUCCGUGCCAGCAGCCGCGGUAAUACGGAGGGGGUUAGCGUUGUUCGGAAUUACUGGGCGUAAAGCGCACGUAGGCGGACCAGAAAGUUGGGGGUGAAAUCCCGGGGGCUCAACCCCGGAACUGCCUCCAAAACUAUUGGUCUAGAGUUCGAGAGAGGUGAGUGGAAUUCCAAGUGUAGAGGUGAAAUUCGUAGAUAUUUGGAGGAACACCAGUGGCGAAGGCGGCUCACUGGCUCGAUACUGACGCUGAGGUGCGAAAGUGUGGGGAGCAAACAGGAUUAGAUACCCUGGGUAGUCCACACCGUAAAACGAUGAAUGCCAGUCGUCGGGUAGCAUGCUAUUCGGUGACACACCU
rnacentral:rRNA from 1 species